UACGUAGGGGGCAAGCGUUGUCCGGAUUUAUUGGGCGUAAAGAGCGUGUAGGCGGCUGGGUAGGUCCGUUGUGAAAACUCGAGGCUCAACCUCGAGACGCCGAUGGAAACCCUCCAGCUAGAGUCCGGAAGAGGAGAGUGGAAUUCCUGGUGUAGCGGUGAAAUGCGUAGAUAUCAGGAGGAACACCUGUGGUGUAGACGGCUCUCUGGACCGCAACUGACGCUGAGACACGAAAGCGUGGGUAGCAAACAGG
rnacentral:rRNA from 1 species